GAUGAGCGCUGGCGGCGUGCCUAAUACAUGCAAGUCGAGCGGAAAGGCCUCUUCGGAGGUACUCGAGCGGCGGACGGCUGAGUAACGCGUAGGAAUGUACCCCAAAGUGAGGGAUAACUGCUCGAAAGAGUAGCUAAUACCGCAUGUGAUCUUCGGAUUAAAGCUUUUGCGCUUUGGGAACAGCCUGCGUAUGAUUAGCUAGUUGGUGAGGUAAUGGCUCACCAAGGCGAUGAUCAUUAGCUGGUCUGAGAGGAUGAUCAGCCAGACUGGGACUGAGACACGGCCCAGACUCCUACGGGAGGCAGCAGUAGGGAAUUUUCCACAAUGGGGGCAACCCUGAUGGAGCAGCGCCGCGUGCAGGAUGAAUGCCUUCGGGUUGUAAACUGCUUUUAUGUGCGAAGAAUUUGACCGUAACACAUGAAUAAGGAUCGGCUAACUACGUGCCAGCAGCCGCGGUAA
rnacentral:rRNA from 1 species